GUAGGUGAACCUGCGGAAGGAUCAUUACUGAGUUCAUGCCCUAACGGGUAGAUCUCCACCCUUGAAUAUAAACUCUUGUUGCUUUGGCGGGCCGCUUAAGCUACUGGCUUCGGCUGGUGAGUGCCCGCCAGAGAACCCCAAACUUUAAAUUACAGUAUUGUCUGAGUACUAUAUAAUAGUUAAAACUUUCAACAACGGAUCUCUUGGUUCUGGCAUCGAUGAAGAACGCAGCAUCUGACUGACUUCGCUC
rnacentral:misc_RNA from 1 species